CAGAGGUGGCAAGCGUUGUUCGGAAUUACUGGGCGUAAAGGGCGCGUAGGCGGCCUUCUAAGUCAGACGUGAAAUCCCCAGGCUUAACUUGGGAACUGCGUCUGAUACUGGAGGGCUCGAGUGCGGGAGAGGGAUGUGGAAUUCCAGGUGUAGCGGUGAAAUGCGUAGAUAUCUGGAGGAACACCGGUGGCGAAGGCGGCAUCCUGGACCGACACUGACGCUGAGGCGCGAAAGCUAGGGGAGCAAACGGGAUUAGAUACCCCGGUAGUCCUAGCCCUAAACGAUGAGUGCUUGGUGUGGCGGGUAUCGAUCCCUGCCGUGCCGAAGCUAACGCAUUAAGCACUCCGCCUGGGGGGUACGGUCGCAAGGCUG
rnacentral:rRNA from 1 species